UAACACCUUUCAACACAUGAAUAUGCUACUCCAUGAUUCCAAGAGGACCUCCGACAACAUUGGUGAUCAUCAGGAAUAUGCUUCCACAUCCACUUCUAGCUGCCAUAUUGAUAUGUGGAAGUGAAAGCAUAUUAUAUAUAUAUAUAGAAACUAGAAUGAUAAUGAAUACUGAUUAUAGGAACUACGUACAGUUUAUCAUUAAGAAGAAACCAGACUAUGAGGACUCUUUUACAUAUAAAUAUCAUGCAGCAUGCUGUACAUAAUAAAACUAAAAAUAUAUAUGAGCUAUUUCUUUAGCUAUAUAUAUAUAUAUAUAUAUAUAUAUGGUGUCCCUGUGUAUUGAUAAAUAUAUAUACUAGGAGGUGAGAAGGGUACAAUAGACUGCAAACAUAUGCCGACUACAAAUUAAUAAAUAUUACUAUGUACUUGGGUAAGUGAAUUGUAUGGCCAAGUACCGUUGUUUGAACUCACUUGGCAAAUGUUGAACAUUACAUUUUGCUGCAUUAUAUCAAUGCAGCUAUAUGCAUAGUAUCGUUUUCUUUCAUCUUCCUCUCUCUCUCUCUCUCUUUCUCUCUCUCUCUCUCUCUCUCUCUCUCUCUCUCUCUCUCUCUCUCUCUCUCUCUCUCUCUCUCUCUCUCUCCAUGUGGCCUUAAUGUUUCUCCAAUUUGGCAUGUAUAAUUCUCACAUGUAAAUUAAUGAACUGCCUGUCAAUUAUUUAUUGAAAGAGAUAAAAACCAUGUAACUUUGCAUGGGCGAGAUCCAGCAAGCAUGGAAUUUGAAUAAACUAAUCGGGGAAAAAAAUAAGAAAGAUUUUUAAUGUGUGCAAUUCAAAAUAGAGGCAGCCAGGAUGCCGUGGUUAGAUACUAUAAGUAAUAUAUAUAGAAUCCAUGCAGAGUCAAAAUUAGAAGGAAAUGGAUCUAGAACAUGAUUAUGCCUACAUAUUUGGAAGAGAGAGCUUCUCAAAUUUAAUACUAACUAAUCAGUAUGUCAUUAGACUCAGAGAGAACUAUAAGUUCUAACUAAUCUGUUCUUUAAAAAAACAAAAACAAAAAAGAAACAAAACUGUAUUUCUGUACUCUGUAUUUAGUUGCCAAAUACAUUGAAGGUGCAUGCAACUGGAAUCAUGCAUUCAAGAUGUGAAGUGGCUCAAAUAUUGUUGGAAAUUACGGGGUGAGCCGAUUUAGUUGCAUGCGUGCAAUCUUAUGGUGGCAGGCUAGUAUAUCUAUCAGAGACUCUACUAUAGUACAUACGUAUGUAGCAGAUCAUAUUAGCCUAGAAUAAACAACAUGCGAUAACUUUUUACCUUCUCUCUUACUUCUAGAAGCAUAUAUACUGCUGAUAAUGGGAUCUAACUUGACAGAGAAAUAGAAGCUCGUUAUACAAUUUUUUUUGCAAGAAUAUAAUACGUAUAUAUACGAAUUAAUAUUGUUCACCAAGCUAGCCAGAAAAUGAAGGUAAAACGUUUUAACUUUUUGAAAUGAACCGUCUUCUACUCAAAGCUUGAGACAAAUUAAGUCCAAAAAGAAGUAAGGACAUCCAGAGUAUGCGCAAACAAGCCAAAGGUUGCCAAUCAGUAUUGUUAGAUAUUCUCCAUGUUAACCAUGCAAAGAUUGGCAUACGCAAGAAAAGAUCAUAAAAAAUAUAAAAUACAGAACACAUAUACGUGCAUACACAUAUUGUUCAUCCAACUUUGGAAUACCCACCUGAUAAGUUCGCUGGUUUGAAGGGAUGAUAGAACUGAAGUUUGGAAAUGACCCGCGAGAAGUGCAAUUUGAAAGGUGGCGGUGUGGUAUAUAUAGAGGACAGGAAGGGGAAACAUGGUUUAAGAAAGUAAUGAUUAAUUGUGUUAGAAGAAAAGUAUGCUGGUUUGAAAUGCGAUUGACCCGAUCUUACUUGGGUUGAAGUCAAGCAUGACAAUGCCUUUAAAGCAAAAAAAUAUACAUAUAUAUAUAUAUAUAUAUACAUAUUUUCAACAGACAUCAUCAUUGGGCGUGCUCU
rnacentral:lncRNA from 1 species